GAUCCUGGCUCAGGAUGAACGCUGGCGGCGUGCUUAACACAUGCAAGUCGAACGAAGAUGCCGGAGUGCUUGCACUUUGGCAGACUGAGUGGCGGACGGGUGAGUAACGCGUGGAUAACCUGCCUCACACAGGGGGAUAACAGUUAGAAAUGACUGCUAAUACCGCAUAAGCGCACAGUACCGCAUGGUAUAGUGUGAAAAACUCCGGUGGUGUGAGAUGGAUCCGCG
rnacentral:rRNA from 1 species